rnacentral:snoRNA from 1 species
AACCCAUGAUGAGGACAUCAUCUAAGUAAGUUCUCGUAUCUCUCCCAAGCCUCAUAUAGUGACUCUGAAUCUAGUUGCAUGAAUAGUGUGAUGUCAUUCCUCAUCUU